CUCACAUCUUCCUCUUCAUGUCUUUGAGUAUUGGUUGAUUAGAUCUAUAGGUUGACGGGUCCCUUCCUUAGAUGAUCUUUUCAUUCACUCUUUGAGGGUGCUUUUUCUUGAAAGGUUUUAAAGUGAUCGUGUGGUUUGGGGUUGAGGAUUAAAUGUUUCACGGACUGCUAACACUGAACAUUGGCUGCCUGACAGCAAAGUGGACGAUUCCUUGAUCCCCAACCCACUCGCCCUUGGUAAUGUAACAAACCCUGUUUUGCAAGGUCAAAACUUGCAGAACUACACAUCAGAGCAGAGCCUCGGAGUCAAGUACCCACCUUGAUACACACCGUUGUGAAAAACUCAUUUUUUGUGGUUAACCUGGCUUGGGGCUUGGCCUUCGUCUCCAGGUGGACUGUGUCCUUGUUCUGCAGCCUGGGGGAGGUAAAGGAUGGGGCUUCCGAUUCAGAUCAAGAUUUUACUUGUGUUGUUUUUUACAUGAUUGCCUGCUUGUAAGUAUUCUAACUAUUGCACUUUUUUGAAAUAAGAAUUAAUCUGAGUACUUUUUUAAAAAAAUAGAGUUUCCAGAACCUCAGUAGAUCUAUUCUGUUAGAGUAUCUAAGAGAAAG
rnacentral:lncRNA from 1 species